rnacentral:rRNA from 1 species
UACGAAGGGGGCUAGCGUUGCUCGGAAUCACUGGGCGUAAAGCGCACGUAGGCGGAUCUUUAAGUCAGGGGUGAAAUCCUGGAGCUCAACUCCAGAACUGCCUUUGAUACUGGGGAUCUCGAGUCCGGAAGAGGUGAGUGGAACUCCGAGUGUAGAGGUGAAAUUCGUAGAUAUUCGGAAGAACACCAGUGGCGAAGGCGGCUCACUGGCCCAAUACUGACGCUGAAGCUCGAAAGCUAGGGGAGCAAACGGG